rnacentral:rRNA from 1 species
AUGAACGUUGGCGGCGUGGAUUAGGCAUGCGAGUCGGACGAGAACCCGCAAGGGGGAAAGUGGCGAACGGGGUAGUAAGGCGUAGGUGACGCGCCCUGGGGUCGGGGAUAGCUUAGGGAAACUUAAGGUAAUACCCGAUAAUCCCGGUAGGUUUGAAGACCAUCCGGGCAAAGGUGUGAUUCCACCUCAGGAGCGGCUUGCGUGGUAUUAGCUAGUUGGUGAGGUAACGGCUCACCAAGGCUGCGAUGCCUAGGGGAUGUUCGCGCAUGAUCCCCACCCCUGGGCCUGAGAUCCUGCCCAGACCCCUACGGGUGGCUGCAGUCGAGAAUCUUCGGCAAUGGGGGAAACCCUGACCGAGCGACGCCGCGUGUGGGAUGAAGGCCCUUUGGUUGUAAACCACUGUCAGAGGGGAUGAAGUGCUAGAAAGCUAUCUUUCUAGUUUGACCUAGCCUCAGAGGAAGCACGGGCUCAUUUCGU